rnacentral:rRNA from 1 species
UGGGGAAUAUUGGACAAUGGGGGCAACCCUGAUCCAGCAAUGCCGCGUGUGUGAAGAAGGCCUUCGGGUUGUAAAGCACUUUAGACUGGGAAGAAGGUGCGUAGUUUAAGAGAUGACGUACUUGACUGUACCAGUAGAAUAAGCACCGGCUAACUCUGUGCCAGCAGCCGCGGUAAUACAGAGGGUGCAAGCGUUAAUCGGAGUUACUGGGCGUAAAGGGCGCGUAGGCGGAAGAUUAAGUGAGAUGUGAAAGCCCUGGGCUUAACCUAGGAACUGCAUCUUAUACUGGUUGACUGGAGUACUGUAGAGGGUAGUGGAAUUUCCGGUGUAGCGGUGAAAUGCGUAGAGAUCGGAAGGAACACCAGUGGCGAAGGCGGCUACCUGGACAGAUACUGACGCUGAGGCGCGAGAGCGUGGGGAGCAAACAGGAUUAGAUACCCUGGUAGUCCACGCUGUAAACGAUGAGAACUAGAUGUUGGUAGGCCUGG